rnacentral:lncRNA from 1 species
CAAGAACUACUAGAUAUGAAGUAGUGUCUUGAACAAAGAAAUUUUGUUUAAUAAUUACAUCUCUAAUUUUCACUUUUACAUUAGAACAAAUACCAUAGAGGUCUCCCUGUGAAUUAUUUGCUGCCCGAAUCACUCAACCAUGUUCAAUGUCAAUGGGCCACCUUCCACAUUUGUAAAUCUCUUUUGACAUAAUAUUGAUUUUAGAUCCAUGGUCAAUGAGAGCAAUUAUUGAAUCUAUCAAGUCUCCCAUCUUCACCAAGGUUUCUAUGGUAGCUCUGGCCCAAUAAUCCCUAGUAUAGUGACUAGGGCCCUUAUCAUCAACCUUGUCUUCAUCCAAAGAAAAUUGAA